rnacentral:rRNA from 1 species
UACGGAGGGUGCAAGCGUUAUCCGGAUUCACUGGGUUUAAAGGGUGCGUAGGCGGGCAGGUAAGUCAGUGGUGAAAUCUCCGAGCUUAACUCGGAAACUGCCGUUGAUACUACUUGUCUUGAAUAUUGUGGAGGUAAGCGGAAUAUGUCAUGUAGCGGUGAAAUGCUUAGAUAUGACAUAGAACACCAAUUGCGAAGGCAGCUUACUACACAAUGAUUGACGCUGAGGCACGAAAGCGUGGGGAUCAAACAGG